CUGCCAUGGACCCGACGCAAACUAGCCAUUUUCCCGGAGAAGUGGGGCGGCGUUUCUGCAGUGCCGGCUCGGCCGCCGCCCUGCCUGCUCGGCCCCCCGCUAGCCCCCCGCUCGCCCGCCGCAGCGGACCCCCGCGCCCUGAGCCCCCGCCCCGCGGCCCCAGGCCGUGCGAGCAGACACUGGCCGGCGCCUUUGUUCUUCCCGGGGUCUGGGCGUUUCCGUAUCCCGCACUGCGGCGGCCGGACUUACGGACUCCGCGCAAAGCUCAACCUAACAAAGCAUCGAGACCACCCUUCCCCGCAGGGAUGACAAAAGGCUUAGGCUUUUCCUGGCAGAUCUCGGGCGACUGGCUCCCCCACCCCGUUACCGAGGGCCAGAGGAGGCUUGGCUCACCAUGGUUGCUGCUUCGCGGCUGCCGGGAGGAUGGCGGAGGCGAGGAGGAGGUGUUGCUUCUUACAGCGCGACUCUUAGGCGGUCGAUGUAAGAGAACCUGCGGCACAUGGGCGGAUGCAGCUCCUUAUAUACAGCUCGGUCACCAUGGGGAUGGGCCACGGCCUUUUCCUGUUGGUCCAGACCCCUCUGUCUGCCCAGAGAAGCCGUGACAGGAGAGUGGUGAUUGGUGCAAGCGACAUGGUAUGAGCCUCCUGCGAGCAUGGCGUGCACAAGACCUCGAGAAAAUUCAGCUGCGCCGCCAUCUGCUGGACGUUCAGAGAUGCUGCGAGAACCUGCCGGUGGACCGAGGUGUGGUGGUUAGCCGGGCAGACCUAGCUUUUCGCCCAGGAAAUAGCGCCGCGGCAGCGUUCACAGGCAGUCUGCUCAUCCAAAAACAAACGAGCAAGCAAACAAAAAACUACCAGACCAGCCCUUUGCUAGAAAAUAGUCUCCGUGUUGAGAAGCACUCAGAUCUGCAUGGACUGGGACUGGGGGUCUCAGGAAAGCCCAGGGCGGGCCACGCUAUGGAAAGAGGCGGCAUUCUCUUCACUACAUACAUCCAUGUUGAGCACUGGCUGAAAACUAAAACCUGUUUUCCAUCUCUGCACACGGGGGAGUAUCAGAGACAGAAAUCCCAAUGCCCUUGUUCUCCUGGAUGGACUGAUUUUGCUGAACGGAAAGAAUUUAAAAGGUGAAAGAAAGGGUAACAGAAAUAAAAAUCAAUCUGGGAGCUGGGAGGUGUUCAGAUGUAGCCUUGGUGGGGUUUGGUACGAGGUCACCAAACCUGCCAACGUUUUCUAACCUCUUAAGUCAGUUCUGAUUCACUUGAAGAUUUUUCUAUUUAGGAGCUGUGGACCCUUUUCACACGAGGGUCUAAACCUAUUUGCAAACACAUUUAUACUUGUGCUCUCAAAUAAACAUUGUUUAUUUGAAACAA